rnacentral:rRNA from 1 species
AGUGAACGCUGGCGGUAGGCCUAACACAUGCAAGUCGAACGGCAGCACAGGAGAGCUUGCUCUCUGGGUGGCGAGUGGCGGACGGGUGAGGAAUACAUCGGAAUCUACUCUGUCGUGGGGGAUAACGUAGGGAAACUUACGCUAAUACCGCAUACGACCUACGGGUGAAGGCAGGGGAUCUCCGGACCUUGCGCGAUUGAAUGAGCCGAUGUCGGAUUAGCUAGUUGGCGGGGUAAAGGCCCACCAAGGCGACGAUCCGUAGCUGGUCUGAGAGGAUGAUCAGCCACACUGGAACUGAGACACGGUCCAGACUCCUACGGGAGGCAGCAGUGGGGAAUAUUGGACAAUGGGCGCAAGCCUGAUCCAGCCAUACCGAGUGGGUGAAGAAGGCCUUCGGGUUGUAAAGCCCUUUUGUUGGGAAAGAAAUCCAGCUGGCUAAUACCCGGUUGGGAUGACGGUACCCAAAGAAUAAGCACCGGCUAACUUCGUGCCAGCAGCCGCAGUAA